AUGCUAUACUGGUCAACGUUGCACUGCAACCCUUGGGGCUUGCUCACUUUACCCAAGCAUAUUUUAAGCAUUUUGCUAAAGGAGAAUUUGAU
rnacentral:ncRNA from 1 species